AAAAGUUACAAGAAAACAAAUGUCUAAGAUGGCGGAUUUUGAAAUUGCUGGAACAUAGUCAUCAUAGACUAAAGCUGUAGCUGGAGUUCAUUGUAUUUUCUGUUCUGCUCUGCCUCCCUCGCUGCUGCCUCCGCCUCCCGCGCUGCUGCCUCCGUUCUAAGUUGAGAAAUUUGCUCAUCUGUGCUAGCUUGUAUCUGAACUAUCUGAUCUUUUAGCCUCUGAACUU
rnacentral:lncRNA from 1 species